AGAGUUUGAUCCUGGCUCAGGACGAACGCUGGCGGCGCGCCUAACACAUGCAAGUCGAACGGAGUCAAGAGGAGCUUGCUUUUCUUGACUUAGUGGCGAACGGGUGAGUAACGCGUGAGUAACCUGCCCUGGAGUGGGGGACAACAGUUGGAAACGACUGCUAAUACCGCAUAAGCCCACGGUGCUGCAUGGCACUGCGGGAAAGGGAUUUAUUCGCUCUAGGAUGGACUCGCGUCCAAUUAGCUAGUUGGUGAGGUAACGGCCCACCAAGGCGACGAUUGGUAGCCGGACUGAGAGGUUGAACGGCCACAUUGGGACUGAGACACGGCCCAGACUCCUACGGGAGGCAGCAGUGGGGGAUAUUGCACAAUGGGGGAAACCCUGAUGCAGCGACGCCGCGUGGAGGAAGAAGGUUUUCGGAUUGUAAACUCCUGUCGUUAGGGACGAUAAUGACGGUACCUAACAAGAAAGCACCGGCUAACUACGUGCCAGCAGCCGCGGUAAAACGUAGGGUGCAAGCGUUGUCCGGAAUUACUGGGUGUAAAGGGAGCGCAGGCGGGAAGACAAGUUGGAAGUGAAAACCAUGGGCUCAACCCAUGAAUUGCUUUCAAAACUGUUUUUCUUGAGUAGUGCAGAGGUAGAUGGAAUUCCCGGUGUAGCGGUGGAAUGCGUAGAUAUCGGGAGGAACACCAGUGGCGAAGGCGGUCUACUGGGCACCAACUGACGCUGAGGCUCGAAAGCAUGGGUAGCAAACAGGAUUAGAUACCCUGGUAGUCCAUGCCGUAAACGAUGAUUACUAGGUGUUGGGGGAUUGACCCCCUCAGUGCCGCAGUUAACACAAUAAGUAAUCCACCUGGGGAGUACGACCGCAAGGUUGAAACUCAAAGGAAUUGACGGGGGCCCGCACAAGCAGUGGAGUAUGUGGUUUAAUUCGAAGCAACGCGAAGAACCUUACCAGGUCUUGACAUCCAACUAACGAAGUAGAGAUACAUUAGGUGCCCUUCGGGGAAAGUUGAGACAGGUGGUGCAUGGUUGUCGUCAGCUCGUGUCGUGAGAUGUUGGGUUAAGUCCCGCAACGAGCGCAACCCUUGCUAUUAGUUGCUACGCAAGAGCACUCUAAUAGGACUGCCGUUGACAAAACGGAGGAAGGUGGGGACGACGUCAAAUCAUCAUGCCCCUUAUGACCUGGGCUACACACGUACUACAAUGGAUGUUAACAGAGGGAAGCAAGACAGUGAUGUGGAGCAAACCCCUAAAAACAUUCUCAGUUCAGAUUGCAGGCUGCAACCCGCCUGCAUGAAGAUGGAAUUGCUAGUAAUCGCGGAUCAGCAUGCCGCGGUGAAUACGUUCCCGGGCCUUGUACACACCGCCCGUCA
rnacentral:rRNA from 1 species